AGAUCAAGCUACAAAGGGCGCACGGUGAAUGCCCUGGCACUAGGAGCCGAUGAAGGACGUGAUAAGCUGCGAUAAGCUACAUGUAGGCGCACACAGCCUGUGAUAUGUAGAUUUCCGAAUGGGGAAACCCAUCUAGUUAUGCUAGAUACUGUAUACCGAAUACAUAGGUAUAUGGAGGUACACCUGGGGAACUGAAACAUCUAAGUACCCAGAGGAAGAGAAAGAAAAUUCGAUUCCCUAAGUAGCGGCGAGCGAAAGGGGAAGAGCCCAAACCAGGAACUUGUUCCUGGGGUUGCGGAUAGAUCAUAAUGCUUUGAUUUCUUUAGUUGAAGAGAACUGGAAAGUUCCGUCGUAGAAGGUAAUAACCCUGUAGGCGAAAAGGAAAGAAAAGUAGAUCUACUCCAGAGUACCACGAGACACGUGAAACCUUGUGGGAAGCUGGGAGGACCAUCUCCCAAGGCUAAAUACUACCUAGUGACCGAUAGUGAAGCAGUACCGUGAGGGAAAGGUGAAAAGAACCCCGG
rnacentral:rRNA from 1 species